rnacentral:rRNA from 1 species
CGUACGGGCCCUGAGAGGGGGAGCCCGGAGAGGGACACUGAGAUACUGGUCCCAGCCCUACGGGGUGCAGCAGGCGCGAAACCUUUACAAUGCGCAAUUGCGUGAUAAGGUGACCCCCAGUGCUCGUGUAAUGCACGGGCUUUUGCCAAGGGUAGGGACCUUGGCGAAUAAGGAGUGGGUAAGACCGGUGCCAGCCGCCGCGGUAAUACCGGCGCUCCGAGUGGCGACCGCGUUUACUGGGCCUAAAGCGUCCGUAGCCGGUUAAGUAAAUCUCUUGUGAAAUUGUCGCGCUUAACGCGACAGCGUGCAGGGGAGACUGCUUAACUAGGGACCGGAAGGCGCAGGAGGUAUUCCGGAGGGAGCGGUAAAAUGCUAUAAUCCCCGGAGGACCACCGGUGGCGAAGGCGUCCUGCGAGGACGGGUCCGACGGUGAGGGACGAAGGCUGGGGGAGCGAACCGGAUUAGAUACCCGGGUAGUCCCAGCAGUAAACUCUGUGGGCCAGGCGUUGCACAUCCGAGGAGGAUGUGCAGUGUCGUAGCGAAAGGCGUUGAGCCCACCGCCUGGG